GGAAGGUCGGCGCGGGUGAGCUCCUCGCCAACCCGGUCAGGUCCGGAAGGAAGCAGCCGUAACGAGUUUUGUUCGGGUCGUCGUCCGGCCUUCCACC
rnacentral:SRP_RNA from 1 species